rnacentral:rRNA from 1 species
GCACAAGCGGUGGAGCAUGUGGUUCAAUUCGACGCAACGCGCAGAACCUUACCAGCCCUUGACAUCCCGGUCGCGGGAACGAGAGAUCGAUCCCUUCAGUUCGGCUGGACCGGAGACAGGUGCUGCAUGGCUGUCGUCAGCUCGUGUCGUGAGAUGUUGGGUUAAGUCCCGCAACGAGCGCAACCCUCGCCCUUAGUUGCCAUCAUUUAGUUGGGCACUCUAAGGGGACUGCCGGUGAUAAGCCGCGAGGAAGGUGGGGAUGACGUCAAGUCCUCAUGGCCCUUACGGGCUGGGCUACACACGUGCUACAAUGGCGGUGACAGUGGGAUGCGAAGGAGCGAUCCCGAGCAAAUCUCAAAAAGCCGUCUCAGCUCGGAUUGGGCUCUGCAACUCGAGCCCAUGAAGCUGGAAUCGCUAGUAAUCGCGGAUCAGCACGCCGCGGUGAAUACGUUCCCGGGC